rnacentral:rRNA from 1 species
GACGGAGGAUGCAAGCGUUAUCCGGAAUGAUUGGGCGUAAAGCGUCCGCAGGUGGCAGUUCAAGUCUGCUGUCAAAGACCGGGGCUUAACUUCGGAAAGGCAGUGGAAACUGAACAGCUAGAGUAUGGUAGGGGCAGAGGGAAUUCCUGGUGUAGCGGUGAAAUGCGUAGAGAUCAGGAAGAACAUCGGUGGCGAAGGCGCUCUGCUGGGCCGCAACUGACACUGAGGGACGAAAGCUAGGGGAGCGAAUGGG